GACGAACGCUGGCGGCGUGCUUAACACAUGCAAGUCGAACGGAAAGGCCCUGCUUUUGUGGGGUGCUCGAGUGGCGAACGGGUGAGUAACACGUGAGUAACCUGCCCUUGACUUUGGGAUAACUUCAGGAAACUGGGGCUAAUACCGGAUAGGAGCUCCUGCUGCAUGGUGGGGGUUGGAAAGCUUCGGCGGUUGGGGAUGGACUCGCGGCUUAUCAGCUUGUUGGUGGGGUAGUGGCUUACCAAGGCUUUGACGGGUAGCCGGCCUGAGAGGGUGACCGGCCACAUGGGGACUGAGAUACGGCCCAGACUCCUACGGGAGGCAGCAGUGGGGAGUAUUGCACAAUGGGCGGAAGCCUGAUGCGGCAACGCCGCGUGCGGGAAGACGGCCUUCGGGUUGUAAACCGCUUUCGCCUGUGACGAAGCGUGAGUGACGGUAAUGGGUAAAGAAGCACCGGCUAACUACGUG
rnacentral:rRNA from 1 species